GGCAAGAGCUCAGAUUUGAAAUCGUGCUUUGCGGCACGAGUUGUAGAUUGCAGGUUGGAGUCUGUGUGGAAGGCGGUGUCCAAGUCCCUUGGAACAGGGCGCCCAGGAGGGUGAGAGCCCCGUGGGAUGCCGGCGGAAGCAGUGAGGCCCUUCUGACGAGUCGAGUUGUUUGGGAAUGCAGCUCCAAGCGGGUGGUAAAUUCCAUCUAAGGCUAAAUACUGGCGAGAGACCGAUAGCGAACAAGUACUGUGAAGGAAAGAUGAAAAGCACUUUGAAAAGAGAGUGAAACAGCACGUGAAAUUGUUGAAAGGGAAGGGUAUUGCGCCCGACAUGGGGAUUGCGCACCGCUGCCUCUCGUGGGCGGCGCUCUGGGCUUUCCCUGGGCCAGCAUCGGUUCUUGCUGCAGGAGAAGGGGUUCUGGAACGUGGCUCUUCGGAGUGUUAUAGCCAGGGCCAGAUGCUGCGUGCGGGGACCGAGGACUGCGGCCGUGUAGGUCACGGAUG
rnacentral:rRNA from 1 species